UUAAGUCGACCGCCUGGGGAGUACGGCCGCAAGGUUAAAACUCAAAUGAAUUGACGGGGGCCCGCACAAGCGGUGGAGCAUGUGGUUUAAUUCGAUGCAACGCGAAGAACCUUACCUGGUCUUGACAUCCACGGAAGUUUUCAGAGAUGAGAAUGUGCCUUCGGGAACCGUGAGACAGGUGCUGCAUGGCUGUCGUCAGCUCGUGUUGUGAAAUGUUGGGUUAAGUCCCGAAACGAGCGCAACCCUUAUCCUUUGUUGCCAGCGGUCCGGCCGGGAACUCAAAGGAGACUGCCAGUGAUAAACUGGAGGAAGGUGGGGAUGACGUCAAGUCAUCAUGGCCCUUACGACCAGGGCUACACACGUGCUACAAUGGCGCAUACAAAGAGAAGCGACCUCGCGAGAGCAAGCGGACCUCAUAAAGUGCGUCGUAGUCCGGAUUGGAGUCUGCAACUCGACUCCAUGAAGUCGGAAUCGCUAGUAAUCGUGGAUCAGAAUGCCACGGUGAAUACGUUCCCGGGCCUUGUACACACCGCCCGUCACACCAUGGGAGUGGGUUGCAAAAGAAGUAGGUAGCUUAACCUUCGGGAGGGCGCUUACCACUUUGUGAUUCAUGACUGGGGUGAAGUCGUAACAAGGUAACCGUAGGGGAACCUGCGGUUG
rnacentral:rRNA from 1 species